rnacentral:rRNA from 1 species
AGAGUUUGAUCAUGGCUCAGAACGAACGCUGGCGGCGUGGUUUAGGCAUGCGAGUCGGACGAUUGUUGCCAUGUUCCAAAGCUUCGGCCGAGGAACCGGUAACGAUAGUGGCGAAAGGGUGAGUAACAGGUGGGUAAUUUACCUUCGAGUUGGGGACAACUUCGCGAAAGCGGAGCUAAUACCGAAUGAGACUUCCGGAUGGCAUCAUUUGGAAGUGAAAGGUGGGGACUUUCGGGCCUACCGCUUGAAGAGAAACCCGCCUCCUAUUAGCUUGUUGGUGAGGUAACGGCUCACCAAGGCAUAGAUGGGUAGCUGGUCUGAGAGGAUGGUCAGCCACACUGGGACUGAGACACUGCCCAGACUCCUACGGGAGGCUGCAGUCGAGAAUCAUUCGCAAUGCGCGCAAGCGUGACGAUGCGACGCCGCGUGGAGGAUGACGGUUUUCGGAUCGUAAACUCCUGUCACGUGGGGCGAGAUAUACCAGCUCUAACAUAGCCGGUAUUUGACGGUACCAUGAGAGGAAGCCCCGGCUAACUCCGUGCCAGCAGCCGCGGUAAUACGGGGGGGGCAAGCGUUGUUCGGAUUUACUGGGCGUAAAGGGCGUCUAGGUGGGUUUGUAAGUCGGAUGUGAAACAUCUCUGCUCAACGGAGAAAACGCAUCUGAAACUGCAUUUCUUGAGUACAGGAAAGGAGAGCGGAAUUCUCGGUGUAGCGGUGAAAUGCGUAGAUAUCGAGAAGAACACCGGUGGCGAAGGCGGCUCUCUAGCCUGUUACUGACACUGAAGCGCGAAAGCCAGGGGAGCGAACGGGAUUAGAUACCCCGGUAGUCCUGGCUGUAAACGAUGUGCACUAGGUGUAGGGGGUAUCGACCCCUUCUGUGCCGAAGCUAACGCAUUAAGUGCACCGCCUGGGGAGUACGGCCGCAAGGCUAAAACUCAAAGGAAUUGACGGGGGCCCGCACGAGCGGUGGAGCAUGUGGUUUAAUACGACGCAACGCGUAGAACCUUACCAGGGCUUGACAUGGUUCUGACCGUCGUCGAAAGGUGGCUUCCCUUCGGGGCAGUUCCACAGGUGUUGCAUGGCUGUCGUCAGCUCGUGUCGUGAGAUGUUGGGUUAAGUCCCGCAACGAGCGCAACCCUUGUCCUUUGUUGCCAGCACUUCGGGUGGGAACUAUGAGGAGACUGCCCGCGUUAAGCGGGAGGAAGGUGGGGAUGACGUCAAGUCAUUAUGGCCCUUACGCCCUGGGCUACACACGUGCUACAAUGGCCGGUACAAAGGGUUGCCAAGCCGCGAGGUGGAGCUAAUCCCAAAAAGCUGGCCCCAGUUCAGAUUGGAGUCUGCAAUUCGACUCCAUGAAGGAGGAAUCGCUAGUAAUGGCGCAUCAGCUACGGCGCCGUGAAUACGUUCCCGGGCCUUGUACACACCGCCCGUCACAUCACGAAAGUUGACUGUACCCGAAGUCACUGAUCCAACCUGCAAAGGAGGAAGGUGCCGAAGGUAUGGUUAAUGAUUGGGAUGAAGUCGUAACAAGGUA